UACGUAGGGGGGCAAGCGUUGUCCGGAUUUACUGGGCGUAAAGAGCGUGUAGGCGGCCACGCAGGUCCGUUGUGAAAACUGGAGGCUCAACCUUCAGACGUCGACGGAAACCGUGUGGCUAGAGUCCGGAAGAGGAGAGUGGAAUUCCUGGUGUAGCGGUGAAAUGCGCAGAUAUCAGGAAGAACACCAAUGGCGAAGGCAGCUCUCUGGGACGGUACUGACGCUGAGGCGCGAAAGCUAGGGGAGCAAACGGG
rnacentral:rRNA from 1 species